rnacentral:lncRNA from 1 species
ACAGCAACAUGAAGGCUGUGGGCAUGCCAGCCAAGGGACGACAGAUGCCCCAAACCAGCAGUGGCGCGUUGGCCGAACAGCGGUGCACGCCCCCAAGAGCUAGCACACAUUGCCCAAGGGGUGGUGCCCACUGCACACGUUGGCUAAGGUGCCUGCGCACACUCACGCGCACGAUGUGGCAUGUGCGCAGGCAACACGCCUUGCGCACCGCACGGAUGGGUCAUGCACAUAGGUACAUGCGUGGUUGGCCGCGUGAGCAUGUGUGCAUGACCCACGAGCCCCACGCAGGCAGGGAAAAUUUUUUCGUGUCCUUCUGCAAGGAUUUUUCACCUUUUUCUUCAUCCAU